AUUUUUCGCUUGGCACGCGCGAGUUUAUCCCCUCUUAGAAAACGGCUUAAUUAAACAACAAAUUUGUUUAGUGAAAAAAUAAUAAACAAAAAAAAGAUAAAGUUUUAACAGAAAUUUUUCUAUUUUGUUACAAACUGCACUUCCAAAGAGGGGCAGUGUAAUUUAAACAGUAAUUAAGCUGCUAAUUUUUUUUGAAAAACUAAUUAAUUAACUAUGUAUGGACAAAAUAUAAGAAACGUUACAUAUGCACCCUAUGGUUAUAAUGGUUAUAGACAAAGCGGCGAACGUAUGUGGCGUAUGAGUCAUUCUCUACUUCCGGCAUGGUAUGUUUGCUUGUU